rnacentral:rRNA from 1 species
AAAGUGAACAAGGUUUCCGUAGGUGAACCUGCGGAAGGAUCAUUA